UACGUAGGGUGCGAGCGUUACUCGGAAUUACUGGGCGUAAAGGGUGCGCAGGCGGCUAAGCAAGUCGAGUGUGAAAGCCCCGGGCUUAACUUGGGAAUUGCGCUCGAAACUACUUUGCUGGAGUGUGGCAGAGGAAGGUGGAAUUCCACGUGUAGCGGUGAAAUGCGUAGAGAUGUGGAGGAACACCAAUGGCGAAGGCAGCCUUCUGGGCCAACACUGACGCUCAUGCACGAAAGCGUGGGGAGCAAACAGG
rnacentral:rRNA from 1 species